GAUGAACGCUGGCAGCGUGCCUAAUACAUGCAAGUCGAGCGAAGCGGGGACGGGUGAGUAACACGUGGAUAACCUCCUAUAAGACUGGGAUAACUUAGGAAAACCGGAGCUAAACCGGAUACUCAUCGAUGGAUCCGCGCUGCAUUCGCUUGGUGGUAAGGUAACGGUUUACCAAGGCAACGAUGCAUAGCCGACCCGAGAGGGUGAUCGGCAACACUAGAACUGAGACACGGGCCAGACUCCUACGUGAGGCAGAAGUAGGGAAUCGUCCGCAACGGGCGAAAGCCUGACGGAGCAACGCCGCGUGAUUGAUGAAGGUCGUCGGAGCGUAAAACUCUGUUAUUAGAGAAGCGGUAACUAAUCAGAAAGCCACGGCUAACUACGUGCCAGCAGCCGCGGUAAUAC
rnacentral:rRNA from 1 species